AUGCCUGCAGGUCCCUGCCGGACCCGACUGCUAUCAGAGUGGGACUAAGCCAUGCGAGUCAACGUAGCAAUGCGUGGCGAACGGCUCAGUAACACGUAGUCAACAUGCCCAGGGGACGUGGAUAACCUCGGGAAACUGAGAUUAAACCGCGAUAGGUCAAGAUUUCUGGAAUGGAUCGUGUCUUAAAUCUACAUGGCCCCUGGAUUGGACUGCGGCCGAUCAGGCUGUUGGUGAGGUAAUGGCCCACCAAACCUAUAACCGGUACGGGCUCUGAGAGGAGAAGCCCGGAGAUGGGCACUGAGACAAGGGCCCAGGCCCUAUGGGGCGCAGCAGGCGCGAAACCUCUGCAAUGGGCGAAAGCCUGACAGGGUUACUCUGAGUGAUUUCCGCUAAGGGGAUCUUUUGGCAGCUCUAAAAAUGGUGCAGAAUAAGGGGUGGGCAAGUCUGGUGUCAGCCGCCGCGGUAAUACCAGCACCCCGAGUGGUCGGGACGAUUAUUGGGCCUAAAGCAUCCGUAGCCGGUUGUGCAAGUCCUCCGUUGAAUCCAGCCGCUCAACGGAUGGGCUGCGGAGGAUACUACAGGACUAGGAGGCGGGAGAGGCAAGCGGUACUUAGUGGGUAGGGGUAAAAUCCUUUGAUCCAUUGAAGACCACCAGUGGCGAAGGCGGCUUGCCAGAACGCGCUCGACGGUGAGGGAUGAAAGCUGGGGGAGCAAACCGGAUUAGAUACCCGGGUAGUCCCAGCUGUAAACGAUGCAGACUCGGUGAUGGGCUAGCCUCGUGUCAGCCCAGUGCCGCAGGGAAGCCGUUAAGUCUGCCGCCUGGGGAGUACGGUCGCAAGACUGAAACUUAAAGGAAUUGGCGGGGGAGCACCACAAGGGGUGAAGCCUGCGGUUUCAUUGGAGUNCACGCCGGAGACUCU
rnacentral:rRNA from 1 species